rnacentral:rRNA from 1 species
UACGUAGGUGGCAAGCGUUGUCCGGAUUUACUGGGCGUAAAGAGCUCGUAGGCGGUGUGUCGCGUCGGCCGUGAAAACCUGCAGCUUAACUGUGGGCGUGCGGUCGAUACGGGCAUCACUGGAGUUCGGCAGGGGAGACUGGAAUUCCUGGUGUAGCGGUGAAAUGCGCAGAUAUCAGGAGGAACACCGGUGGCGAAGGCGGGUCUCUGGGCCGAUACUGACGCUGAGGAGCGAAAGCGUGGGGAGCGAACAGG